CCACGCUUUGAGAACCGCUGAGUUAGUGCAUCCGCGGAAAGGCUACUGUUUCUGGAGUGUGCUGAGUGCAGGAAGGAGGUCAGAGAAGUUGCAGGAACUUUAGCAUGUCCUGGCACUGCAGGCCAGGCACAGUAUUGGGAUUUUAUUUUCGGAGGGGUGGCUAAGCUUUGGAGGAUUUUAAGCAGGGGAGUGAUAUGAUCUGAUUUCCAUUUUUAACAGCUCCCUCUAGCUGAUAGUAGGGCAAAAGUGGAAGCAGGGAGUCAAGUUUAUAUAUCUAUAACAUACUUUUGAAAGUCUUUAUUCCUUACGGUAACAACUGUUGUAAGCCAGGAUAGCAAGCCAGGAGAGAAGGGGAACUUUACGUCCUGUUUUCAUGAUACAGAAACAAUGACAAUCAGAGUCAAGCCAAUAAGCCUAAUCGCUGGACAAUUAGCCUGGGACUGCUAAUUAGGCAAGAUAGCCUGCCUUAGUAUUUAUCAAAACUGCACAUUUAAAUUGAAAAUUUUCUCCGCGAUCUUAACUCUAGUGCUUGAUAUAGUCCAAGUCAUAUAUAUUUAUAUUUAGCAGUUUCGUCCAUGUGUGUUUCACAACUUGGAACUGACAGCUGUUUUCAGUGAUAGGACAUCCUCUUGCUGGUGUCUUCUGAGGAACAAAUGGUGACAAAGGAGUUGCCCUUAUCUCAGUCUGGAUGCCAUCCUAGGAGCCUUAUAAGAGUUUUACUAACCCCUGGUGGAAGGCACAGAUGCUCUACCUUGCUGGCUUGUCUUGGUAGCUUCUGUUUUCUCCCAAGACUUUCAUUCCUUUAACAAUUCAUGUGCUGCACAGCCCAAACUCCAGGAGGAGAAACAGACACGGAAAGGAAGAAUCACAAUAAAAAUGGCUCCAUGGUAUAAUUUACUAGAGGAGGAAGUUGCUAAAUUUGCGUGGGUCCCUAUUAACAUUUGUACAUCCAUUUAUAGAUGAGUAACUGAGAGAAAAUGAGAAAUGGAAAUGUCAGCUAUUGAAGGUGAUGAAAUCAGGACGACACCCACAAUUCAAGCCAAUUUUCCCCAUUAGAUUGUAACAUUCUUUGUUAUGCAAUAGUCUGGCAACGUUCUCUUCACAACAGCAACAAAAAAUUCAACUUCUGAUAACCAUUAGAAUCAAGUUUGUCUUCUAUCUAACCAUUGAAAAAUUUGUAUCCUCUGACACUUCUGUGCUACUCAUGGUGCAUAAUUAUUGAUGAUUGCAGUGAUGACCGAGAGAGACCCUGGAGGAUCUUAAGACACUUUAAUUCUUCAUUUCCCAGAGACUGACCCCAUUGUAGAAGUGCAGACAGCUCAAGAACGUUAAGAAAAAAGGAACUGCCAAUUGCUGUAAAUUACAAGCUGCCUUGACGAAGAGAAUGCUAAUCCUUUGGGGGCUUAGGAAGAGACCACCAAUCUUGUUUCUGAGGGUGAGAACACUCACAUCCAUUGCAGGUGGUGGGACACGCCACUGCAGUCCUGACCGCCUUUCUUACGAACAACAUGGGUAGGGGGAAGGGCCCCCAUGAAUGACCUACAGCUGGUCCAUCGCCCAGCUCCCAUUUCAUGGACAUCCUCUUUUAAGAAACCUUUCUGAUAUUUCCCUGUCUGGUCUAGUGUUGUCAUGGUGUCAUAUAGCAGUUCAGCUGUGUACAUUUCUAUUUGUGCAGAAUAUUCACCUAAUGAGCUGCAUUCCAUUGGGGACAGGAGAGUAGAGUGGUUAAACCCAGGAGCUUUGGAACCUGACCACCUGGGUUCAGUCAUGAUUCAUCUGCACCACACUGCCUGUGACUUAAGGCAAGUUAAUCAAGGGCUCUAAGAUUCAGUUUCCCCAUCUGCUCUCCCGGAUGAUAAUAGCCACUUCAGAUGUAUAUGAAAUAACGUAUAUAAAACAUUUAAUAGAGUACCCA